rnacentral:rRNA from 1 species
CCGUGAGGUGUCGGCUUAAGUGCCAUAACGAGCGCAACCCUCAUCAUUAGUUACUAACAGGUCACGCUGAGGACUCUAAUGAGACUGCCAUCGUAAGAUGCGAGGAAGGUGGGGAUGACGUCAAAUCAGCACGGCCCUUACGUCCGGGGCGACACACGUGUUACAAUGGGUGGUACAAAGGGCUGCUACAUGGCGACAUGAUGCCAAUCUCCAAAACCACUCUCAGUUCGGAUCGGAGUCUGCAACUCGACUCCGUGAAGCUGGAUUCGCUAGUAAUCGCGCAUCAGCCACGGCGCGGUGAAUACGUUCCCGGGCCUUGUACACACCGCCCGUCAAGCCAUGGAAGCCGGGGGUACCUGAAGUCCGUAACCGUCAAGGAGCGGCCUAGGGUAAAACUGGUAAC